CGGAGCGCACAGCUCCGAGCCCCCCGGGACAGCGCGCGGCGCCGCUGCUGGUGCCGGUGAAAUGAGGAUAAGAGAGCGGCUUCCAGCAGCAAUGCCAGAACAGCUGAAGGCAGAGAAAGGGCAGGAGGCAGGUUCGGGCCGUGCGGGGCAGCAGGCGGAAAAGCCGUGGGGUGAACGCUUCAAUCCAGGUGGGCACUGCCACAAUGGAUUUUUGUGCUGCCAGGGGAGAUCUCAUUCACUACCAGCCCGCACUUGGACACGGCGUGUCCUUAGCGUGGAAAGACUGGAUGAAAAGCAAGCAAGCAACGCAUAAAGAGCAGACUGACAGCUCAUCAAUCCUUCCUCUGCAGGGUCUGCUUGUCCUGCACCAGCAUAAUCUGGCUUCAGCACGGGAUUUACAAAGACAGUGCAGACGAGCACUUUGAUCCCAUCCAGAUCAUCCAGGCAGAAAAAUGAGGCAGCAAUACUGAUUUGUAACGAAACUGACUUUUAUAUAAAUUAUAAACCCAUCCAGUUUAAAGCAGUUCAGUUGCAGUUGUGUCACUUAAGUCCGUAGAAGGCUGAGGCGUACAUAUCUCCUACAGUCAUAAAUUAACAAUAAUCAAGGAAGAGAAAGUUCAGAUAAGGCUGCAAAUACAACAAAAAAAAA